UUGCUGGUGAUGAUGGGGUCUUUAUGAGCACUGUGAGGACAUUCCAGGUGAUCCAUAGCAAUACUUUUCACUGGUGACCACGAGACCAAAUUCAUCCCUUCUUAUAUCACUUCAUCCCAGAGAUGGUCCACUGGGAAAUGAAGAUGAGAACCAAUAUUCUAAUCCUGACAAAGCAACUCUUUUUGCCAACAGCCCUGGGAUAAGAGAUCAGAUCAGGCCCAUUUCUUUUGCUGAUCAUCAGCUGUUAAGCAGGAGUGGUCUUCACCUUCAAUUGUAGACUGAGUGGUGACAUGCUCAUGUGAAAAAGGUUAUUAAAAUACAGGCAAGGUUUAAGAGAGAGCAGUGGAGGAACAAACCCCAGAAAUGUUGGAGCCCAGUGCAAGGUAGGAAUAAGUUGCCUUUAGAAAGUGUCUCCUGAGCAGCUGAAGAAAGUUAAAGAAGGCAGCUGGAAACAGCAAGCCCCAAGCAAAAUAACCUCAGUGGUUAUCCUGUGGGGCAUAUCAGAGCAAACCUCAAAUGACACCCUGUAAAUAAAUCUCCAGCACUGACUGCCAAAUACACAUACAUCAAAAGUCAAGCCCUUGUCCAUGGACUCACGUAACACAGUCUCAAUGGAGUUUGUCUUUUCUGCCCUCUUUUAACCCAAAACAAAGUUGUUGCACAAGACUGUGAAUCAGUUCUAACAUACCUCCUGUGCUGGGUUGUCAGCCAGUUACUGGCAGU